AACGAACGCUGGCGGCAUGCCUAACACAUGCAAGUCGAACGAGACCUUCGGGUCUAGUGGCGCCCGGGUGCGUAACGCGUGGGAACCUGCCCUUAGGUUCGGAAUAACUCCCCGAAAGGGGUGCUAAUACCGGAUAAUGUCUUCGGACCAAAGAUUUAUCGCCUUUGGAUGGGCCCGCGUUGGAUUAGCUAGUGGGUAGGGUAAAAGCCUACCAAGGCGACGAUCCAUAGCUGGUCUGGGAGGAUGCUCAGCCACACUGGGCCUGGGACACGGCCCGGACUCCUACGGGAGGCAGCAGUGGGGAAUAUUGGACAAUGGGCGAAAGCCUGAUCCAGCAAUGCCGGGUGAGUGAUGAAGGCCUUAGGGUUGUAAAGCUCUUUUACCCGGGAGGAUAAUGACAGUACCGGGAGAAUAAGCUCCGGCUAACUCCGUG
rnacentral:rRNA from 1 species